rnacentral:tRNA from 1 species
CGGGACGUGGCGCAGCUUGGCAGCGCGUCUGACUGGGGGUCAGAAGGUCGCUGGUUCAAAUCCAGUCGUCCCGA